UGGGGAAUAUUGGACAAUGGGGGGAACCCUGAUCCAGCCAUGCCGCGUGUGUGAAGAAGGCCUUAUGGUUGUAAAGCACUUUAAGCGAGGAGGAGGGUACUGGUAUUAAUACUACCAGCUACUGGACGUUACUCGCAGAAUAAGCACCGGCUAACUCUGUGCCAGCAGCCGCGGUAAUACAGAGGGUGCGAGCGUUAAUCGGAUUUACUGGGCGUAAAGCGUGCGUAGGCGGCUAAUUGAGUCGGAUGUGAAAUCCCCGAGCUUAACAUGGGAAUUGCAUUCGAUACUGGUUAGCUAGAGUGUGGGAGAGGAUGGUAGAAUUCCAGGUGUAGCGGUGAAAUGCGUAGAGAUCUGGAGGAAUACCGAUGGCGAAGGCAGCCAUCUGGCCUAACACUGACGCUGAGGUACGAAAGCAUGGGGAGCAAACAGG
rnacentral:rRNA from 1 species